rnacentral:rRNA from 1 species
ACCUAAGAGAUUUGGCGGUACUUGUUACUUUUUAGAGAAACUUGUUUCAUUAAUCGAUAAUCCCCGAAAUAUCUCACCUUUAAUAAUUAGUUUGUAUACCUUCAUGCAUAUAAUUUUUAUAAAAUAUAAAUUAUUAAAAAGAUUUGUUCUUGAAAUAAUAUAUUAGAUCAAGGUGCAGCUUAUGUAAAGGGUGGAAUGAGUUGCAAUGUAUUAUUACGUGUCUGGAUAAUAUAAUAGUUGAAAAAGUUUUUGAAAUAGUAUUUAAUUGUAAUUAAAUUUUAAUAAGUUUUACUGAUAAUAGUUCUGAAGUAUGU